rnacentral:rRNA from 1 species
GUAGGGAAUCUUGCGCAAUGGGCGAAAGCCUGACGCAGCCAUGCCGCGUGAAUGAUGAAGGUCUUAGGAUUGUAAAAUUCUUUCACCGGGGACGAUAAUGACGGUACCCGGAGAAGAAGCCCCGGCUAACUUCGUGCCAGCAGCCGCGGUAAUACGAAGGGGGCUAGCGUUGCUCGGAAUUACUGGGCGUAAAGGGAGCGUAGGCGGAUAGUUUAGUCAGAGGUGAAAGCCCAGGGCUCAACCUUGGAAUUGCCUUUGAUACUGGCUAUCUUGAGUAUUGAAGAGGUAAGUGGAACUCCGAGUGUAGAGGUGAAAUUCGUAGAUAUUCGGAAGAACACCAGUGGCGAAGGCGACAUGCUGGUCCAUUACUGACGCUGAGGCUCGAAAGCGUGGGGAGCAAACAGGAUUAGAAACCCUUGUAGUCC